rnacentral:rRNA from 1 species
UACGGAGGGGGCUAGCGUUAUUCGGAAUUAUUGGGCGUAAAGGGCGCGUAGGCGGCCCGGUAAGUCAAAGGUGAAAUCCCUCGGCUCAACUGAGGAACUGCCUUUGAAACUGUCGGGCUUGAGGCCGGGAGGGGGUAGCGGAACUCCCAGUGUAGCGGUGAAAUGCGUAGAUACUGGGAGGAACACCAGUGGCGAAGGCGGCUACCUGGACCGGUUCUGACGCUGAUGCGCGAAAGCGUGGGUAGCAAACAGG